CGAACGCUGGCGGCGUGCUUAACACAUGCAAGUCGUACGGUAAGGCCCUUUCGGGGGUACACGAGUGGCGAACGGGUGAGUAACACGUGAGUAACCUGCCCACAACUUUGGGAUAACGCUAGGAAACUGGUGCUAAUACUGGAUAUGUGCUCCUGCUGCAUGGUGGGGGUUGGAAAGCUCCGGCGGUUGUGGAUGGACUCGCGGCCUAUCAGCUUGUUGGUGGGGUAGUGGCCUACCAAGGCGGCGACGGGUAGCCGGCCUGAGAGGGUGACCGGCCACAUUGGGAGUGAGAUACGGCCCAGACUCCUACGGGAGGCAGCAGUGGGGAAUGUUGCACAAUGGGCGCAAGCCUGAUGCAGCAACGCGGCGUGCGGGAUGACGGCCUUCGGGUUGUAAACCGCUUUCAGCAGGGACGAAGCUUUUUGUGACGGUACCUGCAGAAGAAGCACCGGCUAACUACGUG
rnacentral:rRNA from 1 species